AGUGAACGCUGGCGGUAGGCCUAACGCAUGCAAGUCGAACGGCAGCACAGUAAGAGCUUGCUCUUACGGGUGGCGAGUGGCGGACGGGUGAGGAAUACAUCGGAAUCUACUUUUUCGUGGGGGAUAACGUAGGGAAACUUACGCUAAUACCGCAUACGACCUUCGGGUGAAAGCAGGGGAUCUUCGGACCUUGCGCGAUUGAAUGAGCCGAUGUCGGAUUAGCUAGUUGGCGGGGUAAAGGCCCACCAAGGCGACGAUCCGUAGCUGGUCUGAGAGGAUGAUCAGCCACACUGGAAUUGAGACACGGUCCAGACUCCUACGGGAGGCAGCAGUGGGGAAUAUUGGACAAUGGGCGCAAGCCUGAUCCAGCCAUACCGCGUGGGUGAAGAAGGCCUUCGGGUUGUAAAGCCCUUUUGUUGGGAAAGAAAAGCAGCAGGUUAAUACCCCGCUGUUCUGACGGUACCCAAAGAAUAAGCACCGGCUGACUUCGUG
rnacentral:rRNA from 1 species